rnacentral:SRP_RNA from 1 species
GACGGGCCUUCCCGCAUGGAAGCGCGCCCAACCGGGUCAGGUGGGGAACCAAGCAGCCCUAAGCGUUGCGACCAGUGCCGGGGUCAGGCUCGUCACC